CAGAGUAGGGUUUUCUAAUCAAAACUCUUCUUCCCAUUUUGUCUUUCCGCCGUUCUUCUCCUGAAGAAUGUUCACUUACUGGUCCUCCCAAAUUCAUUUCCUCCUUUUUUGGGUGAUGAACAUUCACCUUUCUGGGUCUUCAUCCCUUCAAUAAGCUAUUGAAGUAAGUACAUACCUCCGAUCUAUGUUGUUCUUAUAGUUGUGUCCUCACCAACUAUUCUUCCAUUUUCAGAUCUGUUCUCAAGUGGAUUAGGAUUAUCUCCUUUUCAGGUGUAGGUGGUAUGAAGAUAAUGGGACGCUCGGACCCACCAAACCCUUUCAGUGAAUGUCUUAGUUCCCAGGAAAUGUGUCCAAAGAUGAAUGUGGAGAUUUUGAGCGAAGAAAUGCAGAAGAGACCACCU